UAGGGAAUCUUCGGCAAUGGACGGAAGUCUGACCGAGCAACGCCGCGUGAGUGAAGAAGGUUUUCGGAUCGUAAAGCUCUGUUGUUAGAGAAGAACGUUGGUAGGAGCGGAAAAUCUACCAAGUGACGGUAACUAACCAGAAACGGACGGCUAACUACGUGCCAGCAGCCGCGGUAAUACGUAGGUCCCGAGCGUUGUCUGGAUUUAUUGGGCGUAAAGCGAGCGCAGGCGGUUCUUUAAGUCUGAAGUUAAAGGCAGUGGCUUAACCAUUGUACGCUUUUGACACUGGAGGACUUGAGUGCAGAAGGGGGGAGUGGAAUUCCAUGUGUAGCGGUGAAAUGCGUAGAUCUAUGGAGGAACACCGGUGGCGAAAGCGGCUCUCUGGUCUGUAACUGACGCUGAGGCUCGAAAGCGUGGGGAGCAAACAGG
rnacentral:rRNA from 1 species